GCGUCUGUGGUGCAACGGUGUAGCACAUGCUCCCAGAAAGAGUAAGAUGUGGGUUCGAGUCCCGGCUCACGUA